rnacentral:rRNA from 1 species
AAGGGUGCGAGCGUUGUUCGGAAUUACUGGGCGUAAAGGGAGUGUAGGCGGAUAUGUAAGAUAGCGGUGAAAUGCCGGGGCUCAACCCCGGAACUGCCAUUAUGACUAUGUAUCUAGAGUAAUGGAGAGGAUAGCGGAAUACCCAGUGUAGAGGUGAAAUUCGUAGAUAUUGGGUAGAACACCGGUGGCGAAGGCGGCUAUCUGGCCAUUUACUGACGCUGAGGCUCGAAAGCAUGGGGAUCAAA